CCAUGACGGCCACUCUUAAUAAUGAUCAUCUGAGGUACUACCCGUCAUUAAACUCAGGGCGGCUAUUGUUGGAGCCCACUGCUUCUAGUUGAGAUAGGUUUCCCCUGGAAAGAUCUGAAGUGGGUUUAGAAACCAAAUAUUGACCGCUAAUCUGUGGAACUAAAACCUUGGUUUUCAAACUUGAGUGUUCAUCAAAACCCCUGAAAGUUUUUCUUUUCUUUUCUUUUUUUUUUUUUUAAUCGUAUUGGUGGGCCUCAUCUUUAGAAUGCAGGCCGGGCCUAAGGAGGUGCCUAACAAGCUCCCUGCUGCUGCUGCUGCUGAUUCAGAACACUGGGCCAGGCUUGUGGAAGUCUGUACGCAUUAAGCAAGUGCUAUAUGGGAUUACAUCGGCCCAGAAGUCCAGGAUGGAUGGAGGGAUGAUGAUCUGUCUUUGGAACUACUUCCUGCUGGCAUGGAGCGAUGUCUCAAGCCUCGAUCUCCUAGGUGCAGCACCAGGAUUUCCUAGAGGAGCUCAGUGUUAGACCUUUCCCCCUAAGAGCAAGAUGUCAGUCUGAAGGGCCAAGAGAAAGUGACCACCACAGCUAAGCCUUCAGCUGUACCAUCUCAGGAAUGGCUUCUUCCUAGAGUGAGCAAUCCAGCUUUAAGUCCCUCUUCUCAAAAGCUUAAGGGCAUAAAAUGCAAAAGAAUUACCCCUGUGCCCUCUGAAGUUGGCAAGCACAUGACUGAGGUGGCAUCGGGAGGACUUACACAGACUGGGCUUCUCUGUGUGAGAGAGCUGUAACUACAAUCCAAGCCAAACGAGCAGGAGACAUGCUCGUCAUAUACACAUCACAGGAAGAAACUCUGUGCUAAGAAUUGGAUAUAAAUACAUUUUAUUCUCCUUUUUAUGGUUUUGAUGUUUUAAAAAGAAGGUGCAUACUUACACAUCUUAGCUUAUUAGCACAAUUUUUGUUAUAUUAACAUCA